UAAUCCCAGCACUUUGGGAGGCCGAGGCAGGCGGAUCACGAGGUCAAGAGAUCAGGACCAUCUUGGCCAACAUGGUGAAACCCCAUCUUUACUAAAAAUACAAAAAUUAGCUGGUCGUGGUGGUGCCCACCUGUAGCCCCAGUUACUCGAGAGGCUGAGGCAGGAGAAUCGCUUGAACUUGGGAGGCGGAAGUUGCAGUGAGCCAAGAUCGCACCACUGCACUCCAGCCUGGCGACAGAGCGAGGCUCCGUUUCAAAAAAAAAAGUGCACAAUGUAGGUUAACAGUAGAGGGCUUAAGUAACACCCCUCUAAGCAUUUGUUUUCAGUACUUCCUAGGAGUGGUUGCAUUUGGGAAUGGAAUUGUUAAAACUUGAUGCUUAGGAGCGAAUGCAGACUAUUCAUUGGGUGUUUGGGGUGGGGGAAGGGGGGGUGGGCAGAGGAGGUAUGCAGGGAGAGGGGUUCUGUGCUCCUGAGAUUAGUUCAGAUGGUCUAACCAUUGUUCUAUAUGUGCAUUUUAGUUAAUAUUGUGUAUUAAAGGAUAAGUCUUAAUGCUCAAAGUAUGUUAAAAAUAGAUGUAGUAAAUCAGUCCCUUUGUGAAUGUCCUUUUGUUAGUUUUUAGGAAGGCCUGUCCUCUGGGAGUGACCUUUAUUAGUCCACCCCUUGGAGCUAGACAUCCUGUACUUAGUCACGGGGAUGGUGGAAGAGGGAGAAGAGGAAGGGUGAAGGGAAGGGCUCUUUGCUAGUAUCUCCAUAUCUAGACGAUGGUUUUAGAUGAUAACCACAGGUCUACAAGAGCGUUUUUAGUAAAGUGCCUGUGUUCAUUGUGGACAAAGUUAUUAUUUUGCAACAUCUAAGCUUUACGAAUGGGGUGACAACUUAUGAUAAAAACUAGAGCUAGUGAAUUAGCCUAUUUGUAAAUACCUUUGUUAUAAUUGAUAGGAUACAUCUUGGACAUGGAAUUGUUAAGCCACCUCUGAGCAGUGUAUGUCAGGACUUGUUCAUUAGGUUGGCAGCAGAGGGGCAGAAGGAAUUAUACAGGUAGAGAUGUAUGCAGAUGUGUCCAUAUAUGUCCAUAUUUACAUUUUGAUAGCCAUUGAUGUAUGCAUCUCUUGGCUGUACUAUAAGAACACAUUAAUUCAAUGGAAAUACACUUUGCUAAUAUUUUAAUGGUAUAGAUCUGCUAAUGAAUUCUCUUAAAAACAUACUGUAUUCUGUUGCUGUGUGUUUCAUUUUAAAUUGAGCAUUAAGGGAAUGCAGCAUUUAAAUCAGAACUCUGCCAAUGCUUUUAUCUAGAGGCGUGUUGCCAUUUUUGUCUUAUAUGAAAUUUCUGUCCCAAGAAAGGCAGGAUUACAUCUUUUUUUUUUUUUUUAGCAGUUUGAGUUGGUGUAGUGUAUUCUUGGUUAUCAGAAUACUCAUAUAGCUUUGGGAUUUUGAAUUGGUAAAUAUUCAUGAUGUGUGAAAAAUCAUGAUACAUACUGUACAGUCUCAGUCCCAUAAAAUUGGAUGUUGUGCCUACACACAGGAUCUAGAAGAAUAUGUCAAACUAUAAACUGCUUGUGAUUGUGAAUGACUUUGUUCUUUGCUUGUGUUUUUCAAUUUCCUAUAAUGCACAUACUAACUUUUAAAAAAUAAAGGUUAUUUUAAAAGCCUG
rnacentral:lncRNA from 1 species